GGUUGCGAUCAUACCAGCACUAAUGCACCGGAUCCAUCAGAACGCCGCAGUUAAGCGUGCUUGGGCGAGAGUAGUACUAGGAUGGGUGACCCCCUGGGAUGUCCUCGUGUUGCAACCC
rnacentral:rRNA from 1 species